rnacentral:pre_miRNA from 7 species
UAUUACUAAUGAAAGAACCUAGUGGGGAAACCCCCACUCAACUCCUGAUUCUGCGUGUACCCAAGAAUCACGAACAGAAUG